CGUACACAACCUUCCUUUAAGUGGGGAAUAGCCCAUAGAAAUUUGGAUUAAUACCCCGUAACAUUAUGAUGUGGCAUCACAUUAUAAUUAUAGCUCCGGCGCUUAAUGAUGGGUGUGCGGCUGAUUAGGUAGUUGGCGGGGUAACGGCCCACCAAGCCUGCGAUCAGUAACUGGUGUGAGAGCACGACCAGUCACACGGGCACUGAGACACGGGCCCGACUCCUACGGGAGGCAGCAGUAAGGAAUAUUGGGCAAUGGAGGCAACUCUGACCCAGCCAUGCCGCGUGGAGGAUGAAGGUCCUCUGGAUUGUAAACUUCUUUUAUAUGGGACGAAAAAGGGCCUUUCCAGGUCAACUGACGGUACCAUAUGAAUAAGCACCGGCUAACUCCGUGCCAGCAGCCGCGGUAAUACGGAGGGUGCAAAGCGUUAUCCGGAUUCACUGGGUUUAAAGGGUGCGUANGUGGGUUGGUAAGUCAGUGGUGAAAUCUCCGGGCUUAACUUGGAAACUGCCAUUUGAUACUAUCANGUCUUGAAUAUU
rnacentral:rRNA from 1 species